GGAAGAUAAUGACGGUACUUGAGGAGGAAGCCCCGGCUAACUACGUGCCAGCAGCCGCGGUAAUACGUAGGGGGCUAGCGUUAUCCGGAAUUUACUGGGCGUAAAGGGUGCGUAGGUGGUUUCUUAAGUCAGAGGUGAAAGGCUACGGCUCAACCGUAGUAAGCCUUUGAAACUGGGAAACUUGAGUGCAGGAGAGGAGAGUGGAAUUCCUAGUGUAGCGGUGAAAUGCGUAGAUAUUAGGAGGAACACCAGUGGCGAAGGCGGCUUGCUGGACGACAACUGACGCUGAGGCGCGAAAGCGUGGGGAGCAAACAGGAUUAGAUACCCUGGUAGUCCACGCUGUAAACGAUGAAUACUAGGUGUGGGAGGACUGACCCCUUCCGUGCCGCAGUUAACACAAUAAGUAUUCCACCUGGGGAGUACGACCGCAAGGUUGAAACUCAAAGGAAUUGACGGGGGCCCGCACAAGCAGUGGAUUAUGUGGUUUAAUUCGACGCAACGCGAAGAACCUUACCAGGACUUGACAUCCAACUAACGAAGUAGAGAUACAUUAGGUGCCCUUCGGGGAAAGUUGAGACAGGUGGUGCAUGGUUGUCGUCAGCUCGUGUCGUGAGAUGUUGGGUUAAGUCCCGCAACGAGCGCAACCCCUAUUGUUAGUUGCUACGAAAGAGCACCCUAGCGAGACUGCCGUUGACAAAACGGAGGAAGGCGGGGACGACGUCAAAUCAUCAUGCCCCUUAUGUCCUGGGCUACACACGUAAUACAAUGGUGGAAAACAGAGGGAAGCAAAGCCGCGAGGCAGAGCAAAACCCUAAAAGCCAUCUCAGUUCGGAUUGCAGGCUGCAACUCGCCUGCAUGAAGCUGGAAUUGCUAGUAAUCGCGGAUCAGAAUGCCGCGGUGAAUACGUUCCCGGGCCUUGCACUCACCGCCCGUCAA
rnacentral:rRNA from 1 species